UACGGAGGAUCCAAGCGUUAUCCGGAAUCAUUGGGUUAAAGGGUCCGUAGGCGGUUGGUAAGUCAGUGGUGAAAGCCCAUCGCUCAACGGUGGAACGGCCAUUGAUACUGCCAGACUUGAAUUAUUAGGAAGUAACUAGAAUAUGUAGUGUAGCGGUGAAAUGCUUAGAGAUUACAUGGAAUACCAAUUGCGAAGGCAGGUUACUACUAAUGGAUUGACGCUGAUGGACGAAAGCGUGGGUAGCGAACAGG
rnacentral:rRNA from 1 species